rnacentral:rRNA from 1 species
GAAAUUCGCCUUCAUGAAGCCGGAAUUGCUAGUAAUGGCAGGUCAGCAUACUGCCGUGAAUACGUUCCCGGGCCUUGUACACACCGCCCGUCACACCAUGAGAGUUGGGAAUACCCGAAGCCUGUGAGCUAACGUUAAGAGGCAGCAGUCGAAGGUAGAAUCAAUGAUUGGGGUGAAGUCGUAACAAGGUACC